UCUCUCAUCCUAUGAUUUCAUAUUAUGGGCAUUCAGUAAUGAGUUUAAGAUCGAAUCAAACAUAUAUAAAUUGUGCACUCAAAUAAUGAAUAUUUAUUUAUCCAAUAAAUAGUAUAUUCCAUAAGAUGAUUGUCUUAGGAUACUUCUCAAAUAUAACAUAAUCUAGCAUCUCAACUAAACAAAAAGUUAAAUUGACUAAUUUCAUUAUGCUAGUGAGUGUACAUGAUUGCAAUGUUGAUCCCAACAUGGCAAUGAUUUAAUUUUUUAUUACAUACAAAUCGUCAAAUUGGUGGACUUACAAUGCUCAAGUACUUUUUAUGUCAUUGUGGAUAUCUUUCUUGUGAUUAUGGACUUAUAAUAUAAAUAGGUAAUAUAUGACAAUGGAUAUCUUUAUUAAAGUUCAAGUGUCUAUUUAUAAGUACUUGGUGUGCAUCCAAAGUGCUCAAUGGACAUAUAUUGUUCUCACUAUAAAUGUCUUAUUUAAGGCUCUAAUAGUCCAAAUGGCAUUCCACCCGUUGGCACCUGCACGCCCAAGGCAUCAGCUAGUGGGCUCCCCAUUCGACACAUCUUGAAACACACACCAAGGAGUCUGAUAUGCGCGUGAGUCCAUAAGUUUGGAAACUUUGACGAUGUGAGGAAGCUAAUUGGCAGGAGUCCCUUUUUGCGGGUGUGCAUCGCUGGCCGACAUAGAUCUUUUGUGAAGGGUUUGUGCUGGAGCAUGCUUAUUGGAACCCGAAAAAUGGUGAACUAUUCCUGAGCUAAGCGAAGCUAGAGGAAACUCUAGUGGAGGCCCAAAGUGAUACUGACGUGUAAAUCGUUCGUCUGACUAGGGUAUAGGAGUGAAAGACUAAUCGAACCAUCUAAUAGUUGAUUCCCUCCGAAGUUUCCCUCAGGAUAGCUAAUCAUUAGAGGAUUGGGGGUGCAACAUCCUCGACCUAUUAUCAAACUUUAAAUAGGUAGGAUGGUGCAGCUGCUCCGUUGAGCUGCAUCGAGGAAUCGUGAGCUCUAAGUGAGUCAUUUUUUAUAAGCAGAACUAGCGAUGCGGGAUGAACCGGAAGUCGGGUUAUGGUGCCCAACUAUGCACUGACCUAGAUACCACAAAGGGUGUUAGUUGAUUAAGACAGCAGGACGGUGAUCAUGGAAGUUGAAAUUCACUAAGAAGUAUGUAGCAACUCACUUGUCAAAUCAACUAGCCCUAAAAAUUGAUGGCGCUUAAGCGUGUGACCCACACUCAUCCAUCGAGGCGAGCGCAAUGCCCCGAUGAGUAGGAGGACAUGGUUGGUGCUUCAAAACUCAGGGCUGAGCGAUCGGCAGUGCGGAUCUUGGUGGUAGUAGCAAAUAUUCAAAUGAGAACUUUGAAGGUCAAAGAGGAAAAAUGUUCCAUGUGAACGACACUUACACAUGAUUUAGCCGAUCCUAAGGGACGGGGAAGCCCGUCAGAAAGCACGACUCUAUGCCAACUCUUAAAGGGAAUCAUGUUAAAAUUCAUGAGCCAGGACGUGGUGAUCGAUGGCAAUGUUUAGAAUUCUAGAGACAUUGGCAGGGGCCUCGAGAAGAGUUAUCUUUUCUGCUUAACAGCCUAUGCACCCUAGAAAUGGCUUAGCUGAAGGUAGGGUUGAGUGGUCAGAAGAGCAUCGCAUGUCGUGCGUCAUUCGAUGUGCCCCCGACGACCCUUGAAAAUCUAGAGGACCAUGUGUCGCCCAUGCCCGAUGGUACUCAUAACCGCAUCAGAUUUCUAAGGUGAACAACCUCUUGCCCAAGGAAUAAUGUAGGCAAGGGAAGUUGGCAAGAUGGAUCCGUAGCUUUGGGAGAAGAAUUGGCUCUGAGGGCUGGGCAUGAGGGUCAUGGUCGCAAACUCAUCAGUUGUCGGUGGAUUGCUCAAGCUACUCUUGCAGUGAGAGUGGGUCGCCACAUGGUGGCUAGGGGAAGGAUUGAGAUUGUCUCCCCUCUGGGGGACCUUCCUCAAGCGUCGAACAGUCAACUCAAAACUGAUACAGACAAGGGGAAUCCGACUGUUUAACUAAAACAAAGUAUUGCAUUGAUCCUUGCGGAUGCUCACGCAAUGUGAUUUCUUCCUAGUGCUCUAAAUGUCAAAGUGAAGAAAUUCAACCAAGUGCCGAUAAAUGAUGGGAGUAACUAUGACUCUCUUAAGAUAGUCAAAUGCCUUGUCAUCUAAUUAGUGACGUGCAUGAAUGGAUUAAUGAGAUUCCUACUGUCCCUGUCAACUAUCCGUCGAAACCACAGCCAAGGGAACGAGCUUGGCAGAAUCAGCAGGGUAAGAAUGCCCUGUUAAGCUUGACUCUAGUCUGACUUUGUGAAAUAACUUGAGAGGUGUAGGAUAAGUGGGAGCCGGCUCGCUGACAAAAUUGAAAUACCACUACUUUUGACGUUAUUUUACUUAUUCCAUAAGUCAAAAGUAGGAGCAGUCCCUCCUUUUGGCUUGAAGACCCACCUCAUGGGUCAAUCUGGGUGGAGGGCAUUAUCAGGUGGGGAGUUUGGUUGGGGUGAUACAUCUAUUAAAAGAUAACACAGGUAUCCUAAGAUGGGCUCAACGAGAAUAGAAAUCUUUUGUGGAACAAAAGGGUAAAAGCUUGUUUGAUUUUGAUUUCUAGCAUGAAUAUGAACCAUGAAAGUGUGAUCUAUCGAUCCUUUAGGCCUUCAAAAUUUGAAACUAGAGGUGUCAGAAAAGUUACCGCGGGGAUAACUAGCUUGUGGCAGCCAAGCGUUCAUAGCGACAUUGCUUUUUGAUCCUUCGAUGUCAGCUCUUCAUAUCAUUGUGAAGUAGAAUUCACCGAGUAUUGGAUUAUUCACCCACCAAUAGGAAACAUGAACUAGGUUUAGAUCGUGUUGAGAACGGUUAGUUUUACCCUACUAAUGAUUGUGUCGUGAUAGUAACUCAACCUAGUACGAGAGGAACCGUUGAUUCACACAAUUGGUCAUCGCGCUUGGUUGAAAAGCCAGUGGCGCGAAGCUACCGUGUGUCGGAUAAUGACUGAACGCCUCUAAGUCAGAAUCCUAGCUAGCAAGUGGUGCCUUUGUCCGCCGUUGGCUUCUUGACCCUUCGUAGGGGCAUUCGCCCCCACGGGCCUGCGUCUUAGUCGCAACCAUCGUGGUGGACAUACCGCGAGCGGUUGCCUAUGAUCUAAACUCCGCGUCACGGCGGAUAGAAUCUUUUGCAGACGACUUAUAAGUGACGGGGCAUUGUAAGCAGUAGAGUGACCUUGCUACCAUGAUCCAUUGAGAUCCAGCCUCUCAUCGUGCGGAUUCACCCCCUCCACCCCCCCUAACAUCCUUAGUGCCUUACAACGUAUAAGCUCGAGGUUUGA
rnacentral:rRNA from 1 species